ACUUGGAAUUUAUGGAUUUUGAAGGCAACAAGACCUAAGGUUCUGGCUUAUCAACAUAAUGUGCCCAGCAUCACCCACAUGGAGGCUUUAGUUAUAAUCCUCGUGCACUGGUUUGGACCCUGGAAUUCGUUUGAAGAGAUGUAGAUCAUCAGCUGAGUGCCAUGUGCCAACCGUGAGACCCAGACUGAUGUUGGACAUGUUUGUAGUUUUGGGGAAGUUCAGGCCCUCACUACAUUUUUCUUCGUGCCAUCCUGAAACCAUCUGUCUGUUUUUCGUUUCAUGGCGUCUUCUACCUUCAGUGGCCAGCUCUUGCCAGGAAUGGAUUUUUCUGAAGUAUCAAGAGGUCACAAAUAACAAGGACAUCUGGAAAGGGCCAGAGAGAACACAUCAUGUCAUCCCUGUCAUCCUUGUCAAGGCUGUCUCUUGCGCGCGCCGGACUGGCCAGCAGUAACGACGCUGCAACAGGAUCCUUCUGCACACGUUUAUUGGGAGAGCUUGAUUGCAGAGGCGAAGAGACCCCGAGCCCAGAACUGGUGCUGCUUAUAUAGGCCUAGGAGAGGCGUGUCUCACACCCGGAUUGGUUAUGCACUACGCCUCAUUUGCAUGUUCCUCAUCUGAUUGGUUAUUCUCUCUCUCUGUACCUCACAGAGCCUCAUUAUCAUACCUCAUUUGCAUGUCUCACAUCUGAUUGGUUAUACUCUCAAAGCCUCAUUAUCAUGCCCGGGCCAGGCAGUGUCUUUGCAAAACACUUUACUGCAUAUGUACACAUUGGUUGUUUGUCCAAACUUAUGCGUGGUGGCCAGCAGUAGUCAGUGCCACUCUGCAACGGCACAUGUGGCUUCCCACAGCUGUCAUCCCUCAUGUGGUCCUCCUCCUUGGCUGGUACAGGCAUGAGAUCUUGAUGUUCAGGAUGGUGAGGGAGAACUGCUUUCUCCUGACCUCAAUCUUUCCAGACUCUUAUGUAAGGGUUUGGCUUCAAUGCAGAGUGAAAAGAUGGUUCUGUGCUGUUCUAGCUAGUGCAUAGUGUCUCUAAAUAAACAUGCUAAAUGAUCAGGUUUGCUGUGUCACUAGCAAUGGUUCAGAGUAAAACAAGUCAUCCUAUCUCAUCACACAGCCACCACCUUAUUUUUAUUGCUUUUUAAAAGAAUCUUUAUGUGUGUGUACAUGUGGGAGGUUAUGGAAGGUGUGUGGGCAAGAGUAUGCCCCAGAUAGCAUGUGAGGGUCAGAGGACAGCUUUGAGUAUCAGUCUUUGCCAUCUACUUUGCUUGAGACUGGUCCCUUACUAUUUGAGCUACGUGAGCUGGCCUGUGAGCUUCUGGGGAGUCUCCUGUCUCUGCUCAUUUCACUGUAGAAGUGCUGGGAUUGCAGACGGACACUAUGGUGUAUAGCUUUACUUAGGCUCUGGGGGAUCCAAACCCAGAUGUUCAUGCUUGUGUGGCGAGCACUUUAUCCACCUAGCAAUCUUCCUAGCCACACAACUUCCACACUACUAGUAGUAUCUGCCAAGCAACUGAGCCUGAAUCCUGGGCUAAUCAACAAGGCUUCAAACACCUAUGGCUACAGGGCUAUGCUUUAAGGUGUAGUUUUUGUUAGUAUUCUGAUAUACUGUGGGAAAUAACCCAGAGGGUGACUUCCAUUGGAAAUGAAACUUAUACUUCACAGAUCCUGAGAGGAGAAGGAGGGAACAGCCUAUGUGUGCUCCAGGGAAGAGUACAUGGCAGUUGGGAACCUGAAGAAGGAAGCAAUAGAAAACACAGGCCUGAGUCUUUUUUGGAAGAGUUUUCCUUCAGAAAGGAAUGGGUAAACGAGGCAAGCAGGCUUAGGGAUAGCUAAUUUGAACCUGCCAGAAGGUUCUAGCUUUAGUGAAUAUUGCCAGUUCAGAGAAGCACUAUCUCUCAGGGCAUGUACUUUCUCUCUUUCAAAGGGCCCAAGUUAAUCCUUUUUAAGAAAUCUUUCAAUGGAUCUAUGUGUCUAUGUAUCUAUCUAUCUGUCUGUCUAUCUUCUUUUUCUUCCUCCUCUUUCUCUUCUUCUUCUUUUUCCUCUUCUUCCUCUUCCUCUUCUUCUUCCCCUCCUCCUCCUCCUUCUCCUCCUCCUCCUCCUUCUCCUUUUUCUUCUUCAAUUUAUUUAACUGUCUUCAUCUAUCAUGUAUGUAUACACACACACACACGCACACGCACAUGCACACGCAGGCAUGUCUUGGGGAUUGAACUCAGCUCAUCAUGUUGGGCAGCGAGCAUCUUCACCUUCACCUGCCGAGCCCCCUCGUGGGCUCCCACCUUGGUUAACUAGAACUGACUUCUUUCUUCAUAGCUCAUUCCUUCUUCCACAGCUGCUCUUUCACCAGACCUACUCAGGUCAUGGUAUCUGGUCAGUAACACAACCUCCUACAGGUGAUGGGUAGACUUUUAUCUUAUCAUAAUAUCAUUAAAAACAGAAGCCCCAAUUCCAGAGCAAAGAGCCUGCUGUAGCAGGCAUACUUCACCGGAAGCUUCUGCCUCCUGCUGUGUUCGUAACAUUUCUCCCUUUCCUUCCUGUGCUACAAGGCCCCCCCUUGCCCUGCCCUGCCCUACCCGCCCCAUUGUCGUUAUUUUUCCCAUGGUCUUCCACAUUCAUCUAGAUUUAUUUGCUUUCCCCUUUUAUUUUUACC
rnacentral:lncRNA from 1 species